rnacentral:rRNA from 1 species
GUGACAGCAGCCGCGGUAAUACGAAGGGGGCUAGCGCUGUUCGGAAUCACUGGGCGUAAAGCGCGCGUAGGCGGCUUUGUAAGUUAGAGGUGAAAGCCCGGGGCUCAACUCCGGAACAGCCUUUAAGACUGCAUCGCUAGAAUCCGGGAGAGGUGAGUGGAAUUCCGAGUGUAGAGGUGAAAUUCGUAGAUAUUCGGAAGAACACCAGUGGCGAAGGCGGCUCACUGGACCGGUAUUGACGCUGAGGUGCGAAAGCGUUGGGAGCAAACAGGAUUAGAUACCCUCGUAGUCC